rnacentral:lncRNA from 7 species
AAUUAGAAGUGUGGCAGCUCCCAUCUUCAAACUGGUCAUCCAAAGGCAUGGGCCACCACUCGUGUGAACAUAACAGGAACAGAAAAAGUUAUUUUUGAUGGAAAGACAGUGGUGACCACAGUCUGUAUUUGUAUCAUAUCACCUAAGAGGUGUAUUUGUGGAUUGACAACUUGGAGUACUGGAUGCAGUAGAAAUUCAGCAGAAGAACAGCUCUAUGUCUUGGAGAGUUUAUAGUCAAGGUAUUGCACAAGAGAUUUAAAUAGAUACUAAAAGAAUGAUGUGAGCUUGUGGAAAGCCAGGACAAUAUUGCCAAGCAUGAUGGGCAGUCUGGUACGCUGCUCUUAUCUACCAAGGUCAGCCAGGAACUUUGCUGGUGCCAUAGCAACUAAUGUAAAAAUGGGAUUGGAAGAUGUUGUGAAUAAGGAGUCUCUGAAACUAUUCCUACUGGGUAUUUAAAAAGGUCCUAUUCCCAUACUGUGUUAUUUCAGCUUGCUGCAAGGACUGUAGGUAGUUUUGACACUUUCAUUUACCAAGUUCUGUUCCCUUCUGAAACCUAAGAAAUAUGCAGAGACAGUGCAGAGCCAUGUGAGUGUCUGAAGGACUGGAGUUCCUCCCGAGGAAGAUGUUUUCUUUUGGUGCUCUCCCAAGGUCCUUCACUAUUUCUGCUUUCACAAAGAAAUAAAUCACUCAGAAAUUGCUUUACUUUUCCUUUCACAGAAGAAUCUAACCAAACAUGUUCAUUUUAUCCCAUCACACUGUUUAAUCUGUGAUUUGACUGAUAUCCUUUGCAGAUGAUUUUGCAAUAAAACUGUUGUUUUGCAUCAUGUUGAUCAAAAGCAUAGUUUGUAUGAGAAAUGUAUUUGUAUUUUUAAACACAGUUUUGAAUUCUGAUACUUGCUUGCAGAAAAAAAAAGGAAAACAGAAUUGAAAUUAGAAAUGGAACAGAAUGUUUGGCAGUCUUCACAAAAGCUUAUUUAUCCUUUAAAAUCUGAAACUGUAAUAAAACUUAAAU